AACCCAUGUUGACGACAUUUCUGCAGGAGCUCAUUGAACCUAUCCCAUGUCUCAAUUAGAGACUCCAAUUCCAUUUGCACAAAAGAUGAUAUUUCAUUCUUAAGUUC